GACUGCGGAGGAUCAUUAAGAGACGUUGCCCUUCGGGGUAUACCUCCCACCCAUUGUUUAUUAUACCUUUGUUGCUUUGGCAGACCCGGCUUCGGCCCACCGGCUCCGGCUGGUCAGUGUCUGCCAGAGGACCUAAAACUCUGUUUGUUAAUAUUGUCUGAGUACUAUAUAAUAGUUAAAACUUUCAACAACGGAUCUCUUGGUUCUGGCAUCGAUGAAGAACGCAGCGAAGUGCGAUAAGUAAUGUGAAUUGCAGAAUUCAGUGAAUCAUCGAAUCUUUGAACGCACAUUGCGCCCUCUGGUAUUCCGGGGGGCAUGCCUGUUCGAGCGUCAUUACAACCCUCAAGCUUUGCUUGGUAUUGGACAUUGCCAGUUUCUGGCAGGUCUUAAAAUCAGUGGCGGUGCCAUUUGGCUUCAAGCGUAGUAAUUCUUCUCGCUUUGGAGAUCCAGGUGGUUACUUGCCAAUAACCCCCAAUUUUUUCAGGUUGACCUCGGAUCAGGUAGGGAUACCCGCUGAACUUAAGCAUAUCAAUAAGCGGAGGA
rnacentral:rRNA from 1 species